rnacentral:rRNA from 1 species
UACGUAGGCAGCAAGCGUUGUUCGGAGUACUGGGCGUAAAGGGUGCGUAGGCGGCUUUUUAAGUUUGGUGUGAAAUCUCCCGGCUCAACUGGGAGGGUGCGCCGAAUACUGAGAGGCUAGAGUGUGGGAGAGGAAAGUGGAAUCCAGGUGUAGCGGUGAAAUGCGUAGAUAUUGGGAGGAACACCAGUGGCGAAGGCGGCUCACUGGACCGGUACU